CUUUCUUCUUUUCUUCAGCCUUUUAUAGUCCAAGGUGCAAAGGAUAUUUCUGUUGAGAGAAUAUGACCGUUGGAGGGCAUUUCUGGAACUUCCAGAACCUGCUGUGGCUGAACCUUGGUAGGUAGGCUUUUCAGAAUAGUACACUGCUCUUGUACUUCUAGAUAGAGACAUUUGCCUUUAACCAUUGACUUCUGAUCAGAGUUAUGCUUCGUGUUGGAACUUGUGAAGCUUGGUGAUCAGAGUCAGAGGGAUGCUUGGAUCCUCUGACCUUCGUAACUUCUGCUUCUGGACCUUCAGAGCUUCUGAACCUUCAGAGCCUCUGGUCCCUCAGAGCUUCUGGUCUUCAGAUCUUCUGAUCCUCAGAUCUUCUGAUCCUCUGAUCUUCUGAUCCUCUGAUCCUCUGAUCUUCUGAUCCUCUGAUCUUCAGAUCCUCUGAUCUUCAGAUCCUCUGAUCUUCAGAUCUUCUGAUCCUCUGAUCU
rnacentral:lncRNA from 1 species